AUUGAACGCUGGCGGCAUGCGUAACACAUGCAAGUCGAACGGUUUCUGGUGCUUGCACCGGAGAUAGUGGCGGACGGGUGAGUAAUACGUAGGAAUCUGUCUUAGAGAGGGGGACAACCCGAGGAAACUUAGGCUAAAACCGCAUAAACUCGGAAGAGAAAAGCAGGGGACCGGAAACGGCCUUGUGCUCUAAGGUGAGCCUACGUCGGAUUAGCUAGUUGGUGGGGUAAAGGCCUACCAAGGCGAUGAUCUGUAGCUGGUCUGAGAGGACGGACAGCCACACUGGGACUGAGACACGGCCCAGACUCCUACGGGAGGCAGCAGUGGGGAAUAUUGGACAAUGGGGGAACCCUGAUCCAGCGAUGCCGCGUGUGUGAAGAAGGCCUGCGGGUUGUAAAGCACUUUCAGUUGGAAAGAGAAGCGAGAUGAGAAUAUUGUUUCGUGGAGACGUUACUAACAGAAGAAGCACCGGCUAACUCUGUGCCAGCAGCCGCAGUAA
rnacentral:rRNA from 1 species